rnacentral:lncRNA from 1 species
AAUCACUUUUGGGUAGAUCUGGUUUGGUUACAAUAGAAUCCUUUUUGGGUCGGUGCUUCUUCAACUUCUUCUGCAACUUCGGUUUGGUUGAGAUCGAAUCACUUUUGGGUAGAUCCGGUUUGGUUACGAUAGAAUCUUUUUUGGGUCGGUGCUUCUUCAACUUCUUCUGCAACUUCGGUUUGGUUGAGAUCGAAUCACUUUUGGGUAGAUCUGGUUUGGUUGAGAUAGAAUCUCUGUCAGGUCGAUGCUUCUUCCACUUCUUCUUCUGCAACUGCAACUCCGUCAACCAAGAUGGAACUUCACAGCCUGAGGAUGCCAUUAGAUUAGAUACAUUCCGCAGGAAUGGAAUGUCCUCCUCUGUGUAAAAUGUAAUCGCUUCCCCACUCCUCCCUGCUCUGCCAGAACGACC